rnacentral:rRNA from 1 species
CAGUCGCCGCGGUAAGACAGAGGAUGCAAGCGUUAUCCGGAAUGAUUGGGCGUAAAGGGCUCGCAGGCGGUUUCUUAAGUCUGAUGUGAAAGCCCCCGGCUCAACCGGGGAGGGUCAUUGGAAACUGGGAAACUUGAGUGCAGAAGAGGAGAGUGGAAUUCCACGUGUAGCGGUGAAAUGCGUGGAGAUGUGGAGGAACACCAGUGGCGAAGGCGACUCUCUGGUCUGUAACUGACGCUGAGGAGCGAAAGCGUGGGGAGCGAACAGGAUUAGAUACCCCAGUAGUCCCUGUCUCUUAUAC